CGCUAGCUGCCGCGCGUGGCGAGGGCGGAGGCGGCCACGCACAUCAGGGAGGCCCCACGCGGAACUUACCUGAGGAGAAAGACCCUGCGCCGGGCCGGGAAAGGAGGAGGGCAGGCCUAGAUGAGGUGUCUGCCGCAGAAUUCAGAACUUAGGGCCCCACCCUGGAGACAGAUGUCACUGCUGCCCCAGGGCCCCCGUCUCCGCGUCUGGGAGUGGCGCACCCCAGUGUAGCUGCGUUCAACUUCGGCAACAGAGCUAUUCUGAAUGCACAAAUUGAGACAAACAUCCUUCUAAGUUCACAGCACCUUUUAAUCACUGGAGUGCAAGAUUUACAACAAGGCCAGUAGAAAUCGUGCCCUUCCACAGAGACUUUGAAUAACGCUGAUAUACUGGAUUACAAAAUAGAAACCAAAAAAUGCCCACAUUGCAUCCUAAACCAUCAGAGUGAGCACACCCUUCCAAGACACGCUACCUGAGCCCAACACGGCGCAGCGCUUCUCCCCACGCCAGUCUCCCAGCUCCAGCGCGACUCCAUCCCCACCGCGGGCUUCCUGCUGCCCAGUGGUGUAGGCGGGCAGGUGCUGACCACAGUGCUGAAGCUGUUGGAUGUGGUCACGCGCCCCACCGUGUCUGGCCGUCUUUAAAAUGUUGGGUGCCACUUUGGAUCCUGCUGGCCACAGGAAAAGGAAUGGCAUGUCCCAAAUACGGUGUCUUCGUUCUGGAUGUGGACUAAGGAAGGCGUGUGGUAUGUAGCUGCGCCUGCAGCAAGUCAUCAACAGCUAAUUACACACUGAGGACAUCAUGACACUCAUACUGAGUAACCCCAACAUUGUGAUGACUGUAUUUAAUUACUGGAAGACAGUAAUCCCAUAGAGGAAGAAAAAUGCAUGCUAACCAUAAGACUGUCAAAAUUAUGAGUCCCGAUACCUGUGACCAGUUAACCAGUGGAUGCUGCAUGCCUGAGAUUCUUCCUGUGAGGCCUGAAUGAACCAUGGGCUUUGGAGAAGGAGCGGAGUAGCGGGAUGAAGCCAGUUCCCAUCAUAUCCCAUUCUUCUUUCGUUAGGCCCUAAUGAUAAGACCACCAGAGUUGCUAAGCUCUUCCUCAUGUAUCACUAAUCUUGCUUCUAAAUUCUACAUGAUUAAUGCAGAAAUUUUUGGAAUAAGGUGAUGAAGUGUGAAACAGCUUCGUUUCUAAUCUACAUUUUUACAUUACAAAAUAUUGCAAAUUUCCUUUCAAACCCAGCCUAAACUCACUCAUGUGAACUCCUAGAGCAAUCUCUAGUAACUUUGUCACAACUCUCACUAUGCUUUAUCAUGAAUUACUUAUUUGUUCAUCUCUCUUGCUAUUAUAUAAGCUUUUAGAGGCUAAAAUCUUCCACAUCUUGUAUAUAUUUUUUACCUCUAGAAGUCUCUAAUAAGCAUUCCUUAAAUAUUGAUUGAAUAAAUAAGGAAUCUAAAUAUUACUUAUAAACUAUCAAGCAAAUCUGAGCAUUUUAUAACCCAAAAAGUUUAUAAGAUCGUGUACUGCGUUCUACACAUCAUAUUUUAAAUCAAGUAUAUAAAAGUUUGUUUUAUCCCAGAUUAUAAUUUGUCAUGUAAGUGACGAUUAGUAAUUUGAGGUGCCAAACUGAGUGUCCUGUUUAGACCACUUGCCUAGCUGUCAAUUUCACUAUGCUCGAGCAAGUGAAAGACAUUUUGUUUAAGAUAUAAAAUAAAAUAACACAUCCUCAUGUGAUUUUAUGAGGAGGUGAUCAUGUAUGUUACAAAUGCUCUCUUAAUAUAAACUAGCAGUCCCUACAAUGAAUAUACAAAUAAUUACAGCUAUUCUGAAUUUGAAGAAAAAGUCAUUUAAACAUUAAGCUGAAAUCAGCCACAGUAAGAGUGGAGUGAUCAGCCAUUCUAAUGUUAAAGAAGAAAUCAGAAAGAAAAGUAAUUCAGGAAUGUGCUCCACACACAGAGAGAAAAAUAAUGCCUGAAAAAUCAAAGGGAUGAUUUUGAACAGUUACAGUGAAGACCAUUGAUUCAUUCUUUUUGAUGUAUGUAUAAAUCUUAUCUAUCAAUUAUUCCUAUUUCCCUAAUUGUGUGCCAAACUUUGUGUAAGGUAUAGAAAUUUAAACAAUGAAAAAGAUUAUCUUGUCUUUUGCAAGAACAAUAAGAAAUGUACUUUUUGCUUAAGAUUGCUUUUUCUCUAGUUCCAUACAAAGCAUAGAACUAUUUUUUUCUAGA